CCCCCCCCCCCCCCCGCAGGUCUUUUCGUGACCUGGCUUCGCCACUUACCAUGGAGGUGGGUGGAUAAAGGAGCUGCAAGGGGCUCCAUCAACGCAUGGAGGCUCUCAGUCUUCCUUGAGUGCGUCGUCGCCAUCAUCAGUUGCGCAGGUGACGAGUCCAUAUCAGCACUACAUUUAUCUUCUGAUGAAUCUAAAGAUACUAAAACAAAAUGCAUCUUUGGCAUUACGGGAGUUGCAAUGUUUAUACUGUGCUACUCUAAUUCCAGUUCGUUCCACUACAUUGGAUUUAGCCUAUAGCAUGUAGGUAAACCUUCUAACCUCUUUGACUUACAGAUUAUAACAUAUCUGAUCACUUUAAGCUGUUGUAUGUUGGAGAAAUCUGAGAGUAUUUCUGCUAGGUCUGAAAAGAGGAGAUUUACUAAUAACCUGCAAGGAGAUUAUUUAGCAAUUACAUACACAUGAAACGAUCUACCAUGGUGUCUUCUAUUUCUAGCAAAGGUUAAUGCUUCGCUAGAGAGAUUAGUUGCCAGGAUGUCCUUGCGGGCCUUCAACAUUAGUUAAAGCCUAUCGAUUUCCAGAGACAUUUUUUUCCUUUUCGUCAGUUAAUGUUCUUCUUAACCAGGAUUGCCUUUCUUCAAAUCUCAAGAUCUGUUUGUAGUAGUCUAAAGUAUUUUUUAAGGUUAUUCUCAUCAUUUAAUAAAAAAAUCCAUUACAAAAAUUGCCAUGAUAUAAAAAGUAGCUUCAAAUUUAGAAUUUGCAUAAUCUUUUAAAUUAUUCGAUAUCAGUAAUCAGUAGCUUAGUCCUCCAAGUUCUGUUCAGCAAUAGGGCAAGCUAUUUUGGUAAAAGCUGCAGAUUCAAUUAGUCUUCUUGGUUGGCUUUAAAUUUUACACAAAAUGUUUGUGUUCCAUUUUGCAGAUUUGCUCAUGGGUUGACAAACUGAGAUAGAGGUAUAUGAUCUAUAAUGUUACAUUCCUGCUUUGGAUUUCUUUGCCAAGCAGUGAUACUAAGAAUUUCAAACUGACCAUGGACUCUGUUAUAGCCUUGGGUUUUAUUAUUAUGACCAGUUACAAGGCCAUAUGAAAAUGCUGAAAUUCAGUUUGAAAAGCCGUGAAAAUGUCAAGCUGUAUUUGUUUUUUUUUCUAGACUAAAACCUCUAGCCAUGAUCUUGGUUAGAUGGGGCUCAACACAAAUGAAGUGUGGCCUUUGGUGCCAUGUGGUGAGGGAAGGAUCCAACAUCCAAUGCCGUCAUUUAACUUUUCUCUCUUCUAACAUGCUUCUUCCUUGGGUUUCACUGAAUAAUCACCUACACCUGGAUCUGUUGUCUGGUAAGAAUCUUUUGCCGAUUUGGGAUUUUAGCUACAUUGUAAAAAGUACAAAAGAGUGAUUUUUUUCUGAAAUAUUGUUCUCACCCUUCAAUAAACAAAAUCCAUUGUAAAAAUUGCCCUGAUACAAGGAGGUAGCUUUGAAUUUGCACAAUCUGUUAGAUUAUUCAAUCAAUGUCAAUAAUUAGCUUAGUCAUUCAUUUCUGUUCAGUAAUAGACCAGGCUAUUUUUGUAAAAGCUGCAAUUCAAUUAGCAUUUUUGGUCGUCUUCAAAUUUUACACAAAUCCCGUGUUCUAUUUUGCAGAUUUCCUCAUACUUUAGCCAACUGAGCUAGAGAAUUUCAAAUUCCCUAUGGACUCUGCGAUACCUUCAUUGUUUCUUAUCAUGUCCAGUUAGCAAGCAUUUGAAAAUGAUCAGUUUGCAGUUUUAUAUUACUCCCUGAGAAUCUUAAGCUGUAUUUUGUUUUCCCUUUUGGCUAGACUUCUGUCCAUGAACUGGUUAGCUGGGGCUCAACACAAGAUAACUAUGACCUUUGGUGCCAUAUUAGGGGUGAUGGAAGGAGCCAGUUCCGUAGAUUUCUAUCUUUUAGCAUAGUACUUCCUUCGGUUUCACUGAACAAUGACCUAUGCCUGAAUCUUUUGUCUUAGUAAUUUUUUUGUCCAAUUGGGAUUCCAUGUUAUAAAAAGUAUAGUAACCUUGAUCCUGACUCCCUGAGUAAUAUGUGCAGGAGAACUAUGCCUGGAUCACUCACAUGAUCAACAACAUACUACAUGUACAAUCUUCAAUUACCCUUUCUUAUGGACAUUCAGCUACAUAGGGCCAUUCUAAUAAAUAACAAUUUGUGUUCUUUGCUAAGAUACACAAGUAUCGUGUUGUAUGAUGAUGAUGUUGCUCCUCCAUGUCUUCAACCCAUGAUGUUGUUACAACCUUUAAAAAUGAUUGUGCAGAUAUGAAACUAUGUAAAUGCAUGAUUAGUGCAACAAAA